GCGGUGUAGAACAGGCCCCUGCUGCCCAGGCUUUGCUGAGGUUCUGCAGACCUUCAGCACCUGCAAGGGGAUGCUGGGCGAGAUCCUGUCUGCAUUCGAGUUCAUGGAUGCUGUGUGCAUGCAGCUGGUCGGGCGCCAUCUCCACCUGGCCAGCCCGGUGCAAGAUCUCCACAAUGGAAGUUCGAAGCAAGCAAAAGCCACGCGAACCACAGGCCGAUCUGUCUGAGCCCCAGGAUUUGGCCCGGUUCCGCUUCAGCCACCAGCACCGUCUGCUCCUCCUCAGAAUCCUUCCUCCCCCGUGGCCCGCCGGCCGUGUCCCUCCUCCCCCACGGCCCGCCUACCAUGUCCUUCCCUCCCCCGUGGCCCACCCACCAUGUCCUUCCCUCCCCCGUGGCCCACCCACCAUGUCCUUUCCUCCCCCGUGGCCCACCCACCAUGUCCUUUCCUCCCCCAUGGCCCACCCGCCAUGUCCCUGCCUCCCACCCGACAUGCCCCUUGAGCUGCCUGGGCCCUGCUGUCGUCCCCACUGCCUGUGUGACUCUGCGCCCCCUUCCCUACCCUGCCCCGCCGUGGUUCAGGGAGCGUCCAGGCCCAUCCUCAUCCUCAGGGCCUUCCCUGGCCCUUGCCACUCCGUGCCGUGUCAUGACCUGAAGCUGCAGGUGGGCGCCUCCCCCUUCCAUCAUGGCUGUCCCCCUUCUGUGAGGUGUCCCAGUCGCCUGAUUGCCGGAGUCCCAGGGUGCUCGGUGCUGUCGUGGAGCCUGGGACAUUCACUGUCUGGGAUCGAUUCCAGGGUUGGAGCCACACCUGGUCUGGGGCAUUUGCUGUCUGGGGUUGGAGCCACACCUGGUGAAGAUACAGAACGUGCUGCUGCCCUAACCCCAUGUGGUGUGCCCCCUGUCCCCGGGUGUCGUUCCCAUAGCCAGCCCUUGUCUCAUCUCGUCUCAUCCUCUAGAUGCUGUGGGCCCUGAGGGAAAGGAUCACAGAGGCGCUGAGCCGGGAUGGCUACGUGUACAAGUACGACCUCUCCCUCCCCGUGGAGCGGCUCUACGACAUCGUGACUGACCUGCGCGCCCGCCUCGGCCCGCACGCCAAGCACGUGGUGGGCUAUGGCCACCUUGAUGGUAACCUGCACCUCAAUGUGACGGCGGAGGCCUUCAGCCCGUCGCUCCUGGCUGCCCUGGAGCCCCACGUGUACGAGUGGACGGCCGGGCAGCAGGGCAGCGUCAGCGCGGAGCACGGAGUGGGCUUCAGGAAGAGGGACGUCCUGGGUUACAGCAAGCCACCGGGGGCCCUGCAGCUCAUGCAGCAGCUCAAGGCCCUGCUGGACCCCAAGGGCAUCCUCAACCCCUACAAGACGCUGCCCAGCCAGGCCUGACGGCCACUCCCGCUGCUGCCAAGGCCCACUGGGGGUCAGCGGGUGGCUCUCGGGCGGGGGUGUUGCGGUGGCUCUGAGCGAUGAGCCGGCAGUGGGCAGGGGACCAGGCACCUGGUCGAAGGGACUGGGAGCCCGCACUGGGGAACUGCCGGACGCAGGCCCUCGGGCAGGAGCAUCUGGCAGAGUGGGGGGCGCGGCAGGCACCCUCCUUUGCAGGGCAAGGUGGGGCCUCUGCAGCCAUCCUGGACAGGCCGGGGUGGCGGCAGCUUUGCCCACGUGGAAGCGGGGUGGGUCUCACUUGCAUGGUGGUGGUCCCUGGCCCCAUCUUGCCUGCUGCAGUCUAGGGAGCAGGCACUGGGUGGUGUUUCUGCCUGUUUGCUGCUCGUUCCCCGGGCACGCGUGGGCAGCGGGGGGCAGCGGUGGGCAUGGGCAGGACCACGUGGGCCGUGAUCGUGGGUUGCCGAGAGGACCUGAGCGCUGCGGCUCUGCUGAAUGGAGCCGGGUCCCUCAGGCCGUGGACGCCCUCGGGAGGGGUGACUGUGGCUUGUGUCUGGACCUGAGUGACAGGAAUGUGUCAUUUCCCGCAUCUUCUAGAGGGCUGCCAGCUGGGAAGACAGUUAUCAGGGCAAGCUGUGCUCUGAGUUUCAGGUUCUGCUCCUACAAAGAACGUGCGGUGCUGCGGGCGAGGGCCCCGGCACGGACAAGGGUCACUGCAGAGUGUGUUUCUGCUCGUCAGCCACCCUGGGCAGCGGAUGGGCUGGGCGACGCAGCUGGACGCACAUCUCUUUCUGUCAUGAAUGUCCAGUAAAAAUCUGAAUUGGUUGCAA
rnacentral:sRNA from 1 species